UACGUAGGUCGCAAGCGUUGUCCGGAUUUACUGGGCGUAAAGAGCGCGCAGGCGGCUGGUCAAGUCCGAUGUGAAAUCUCCCGGCUCAACUGGAAACUGCAUCGGAAACUGAUCGGCUUGAAGAUGGGAGAGGGUAGUGGAAUUCCCGGUGUAGUGGUGAAAUGCGUAGAUAUCGGGAGGAACACCAGUGGCGAAGGCGGCAUCUGACCGAGAUGACGCUGAGGCGCGAAAGCGUGGGAGCGAACAG
rnacentral:rRNA from 1 species